CCCAGCACCGAAGCCUGUGACCCUUUGGUUACUAGGCAAUGUGGUGUUUAGGUUGUCUUUUGGCACUGUUGCUCCAUCCUAAGUCCAGCAAUGAGUACGGCAUUCUGGAAUGGCCCGCAGAGGGUGAAAGGCCCGUGGGGGUGGAGAUCAAAUGGCCAAUGGUGCCCGAAGUAAACCUUGGAGUCGGGUUGUUUGUGAAUGCAGCCCAAAUUGGGUGGUAAACUCCAUCUAAGGCUAAAUACUAGCACGAGUCCGAUAGCGAACAAGUACCGUGAGGGAAAGUUGAAAAGUACUUUGAAGAGAGAGUAAACAGUGCGUGAAACCGCUCAAAGGUAAACGGGUGGAGUUGAACUGUAAGCCAUUGGAAUUCAACUGGUGGGUUUGACAUGAGCUUGGGCAUAUAUGGUCGGUUUCUAAAGUCUGCUUAGCUGCGGGCUUUCGUCCUUUAUUGGGCGAGGGUGUGCGAUGCACUCAUCAAGUGCUGUGCGCUUUAGAAGCUGUAAGCCUGCCUGCCAGUGCACUUUCCUUUGGUGAGCACCACGACCGGCGCGUUGUCUGUCUAAUUUGGUUAAACCGGCCUUACGCGGUCCUUGUGGCCGUGCUGGGUCGGGAUGGCAGGUAAUUCAUUGAUCAUCUGUUAGUUUCGGCUAUCAGUGGUCAAUGAGUGUUACAAGCUGACCAUUUUAGGCCAGUGCACUGCGCCGGAGAUGACGGCUUUGUGUGAGCAUUUGUGCUUGCUUGCUGGCUUAACUGGGUCAGAUUGGUCUGUUUACUCGCUUUGGCGAAUCAGCCAAUGGCUCAGUUUUGUUCAGUGGGCGGUUGCAAAUGUGACACAUUUAUAGGCCUAUAGUCUGUGGUGUUGCGGUAGACUAUCCACCUGACCCGUCUUGAAACACGGACCAAGGAGUUUAACAUGUACGCGAGUCAUUGGGCGUUACGAAACCCAAAGGCGAAGUGAAAGUAAAGGUUCGGUUUAACCGAGCUAAGGUGAGAUCCUAUCGUUUCUCGUGCCUGGUACCACCAAGUAUUUGAGCGGUAGGCGCAUCACCAGCCCGUCUCAUGAUGUAGUCAUACGGCUUUACUGUUGUAUGCAGCAUCGGGGCGGAGCCUGAGCGUACACGUUGAGACCCGAAAGAUGGUGAACUAUGCUUGCGCAGGUUGAAGCCAGAGGAAACUCUGGUGGAGGACCGUAGCGAUUCUGACGUGCAAAUCGAUCGUCA
rnacentral:rRNA from 1 species